rnacentral:rRNA from 1 species
CCUACGGGUGGCAGCAGUAGGGAAUAUUGCACAAUGGGGGAAACCCUGAUGCAGCAACGCCGCGUGGAGGAUGAAGGUUUUCGGAUUGUAAACUCCUUUCGUUAGAGAAGAUAAUGACGGUAUCUAACGAAUAAGCCCCGGCUAACUCCGUGCCAGCAGCCGCGGUAAUACGGAGGGUGCAAGCGUUACCCGGAUUAACUGGGCGUAAAGAGCGCGUAGGCGGGAUAGCAAGUCAGAUGUGAAAUCCUAUGGCUUAACCAUGGAACUGCAUUUGAAACUGUGAUGCUGGAGUGUGGGAGAGGUAGGUGGAAUUCCUGGUGUAGGGGUGAAAUGCGUAGAGAUCAGGAGGAACACUCAUGGCGAAGGCGGCCUGCUGGAACGUAACUGACGCUGAGGCGCGAAAGCGUGGGGAGCAAACAGGAUUAGAUACCCGAGUAGUC